rnacentral:rRNA from 1 species
CCAAUAGCGUAUAUUAAAGUUGUUGCAGUUAAAAAGCUCGUAGUUGAAUUUCGGGAUCAGUAUGUUGGUCGUGCUUCGGUACGUACUGUCAUUACUGGUUUCUACCUUCUGAAGAACCAUGAUGUCAUUAAUUUGGUGUCAUGGGGAAUCAGGACUGUUACUUUGAAAAAAUUAGAGUGUUUAAAGCAGGCUCGCGCUUGAAUACAUUAGCAUGGAAUAAUGAAAUAGGACGUUUGAUUCUAUUUUGUUGGUUUCUAGGAUCGACGUAAUGAUUAAUAGGGAUAGUUGGGGGCAUUAGUAUUCAAUUGUCAGAGGUGAAAUUCUUGGAUUUAUUGAAGACUAACUACUGCGAAAGCAUUUGCCAAGGAUGUUUUCAUUAAUCAAGAACGAAAGUUAGGGGAUCGAAGACGAUCAGAUACCGUCGUAGUCUUAACCAUAAACUAUGCCGACUAGGGAUCGGAUGAUGUUAUUUUUAAUGACUCAUUCGGCGCCUUACG